UACGUAGGUGGCAAGCGUUGUCCGGAUUUAUUGGGUUUAAAGGGUGCGUAGGCGGCCUAUUAAGUCAGUGGUGAAAUAUCUCAGCUUAACUGAGAGUGUGCCAAUGAUACUGAUGGGCUUGAGUACAGAUGAGGUAGGCGGAAUUGACGGUGUAGCGGUGAAAUGCUUAGAUAUCGUCAAGAACACCUAUAGCGAAGGCAGCUUACUAGGCUGUAACUGACGCUGAGGCACGAAAGUGUGGGGAUCAAACAGG
rnacentral:rRNA from 1 species